rnacentral:ncRNA from 1 species
CCUUUGGCCGGGAGGGUAAAAGGGAAGCGGGUGAGAGUCCCGCGCGAUCUCGUCACUGUGAUAAGGGAGUCCGCUGCCUUGGCGCACGUCGCCGGUCACUGGGAGCUUUGCUUCUGGGAAGGCGGCAGCGGAUGAUGAGCUUUCAGUCAGGAAACCUGCCCGCUGU